rnacentral:lncRNA from 1 species
CACACACACACACACAUACACACGUACGCAGACACAAGUGAGAGUGCGCUCCUAACUCCUAGAACCCUUAUGCUGACACCUGUGUAUGCUGGAAACAGAUCAGUGUUACUAGAAGGCAACACUGAAGUUGAAAACAAUAUGGUGUCCUACACCUUCAGUGUCUGUGAAGCUUCAAGACUAUUAUACUUCCUGGCAGUAUGUUCCAGAAGGACUGUAGCUCAAGGCUAUGCAAGCCUUUAGUAUCCCCUUCCGAAGACGUGCAUCAGGAUCCUAAGACGUUUGAAAGAAAUCAGAUGUGGUAGUUAUGAAAAUAGCUUUUCGGAUUUCCUGCUAAGAUGAUGAGAAAUACCAACAUUGGAAAACAGCAAACUCCCAUCAUACCAGCACACCAGGGGCUGUCAAGGCUGCUGACAAAUACU